AGGGACGGCCCCGAGCCCGUGACAGCGGGGAGGCCCGGGGCACCCUCCCGGUCCCUCCGCACGGCUGUGGGAACCGGCCGAGGAAACACCUGGAGGCGCGGCGAGGCCCCGCUCCGGAGAACGAUGCCAGGAGUGAGUUGACAAAGCAGACUUUCUGCAUUCCCUAGUGCUCUGCCUGGAAGCUAAAGAAAAAGUAAUCCUUUUGUACGCCACAUGAAGCAGUAAUUUCUUGUGGAUGGAAGCUAGGAUACCAGGGUGCUGGGCAUGGUUGUGCAAGUCCAUUCUUCCCUUGUGUGAACUGCAUGCAGAAAAUAGCUGUUAAGGUCCCAGCCACCUGGACUCACCAGUUUCCACACUUUUGGCUAGAUGUCAACCACUUCUGAUCCUUCACUUCUGAAAAAAUUAUCUCAGAUGUGUGCCACGGUUCUCCCUGGACUGCAAGAAUAGCUAUCAACUUGGAUCAGGCAUAAUUGCUUUAAGUUGAUGUCACUUUGUCACCCUGCCUUUGCUACAGGUCACGGAAGAUAAGGACUCACAACUGGACACAGUCUCUCCACUUGCCCUAAGCCACUGCAAUCUCCCAGGCAUUAUAUUUCUUGAACUUGAUGUAAGACUCUAUUAAGUAUCCAUUGAUGUUUGCAUAAUUCUGCAGUUCAAGAGUCUUACUAUCUACAGCAUUUAUUAAUUAGCAUGAGCUAAAUUUUCAGUAGGAAGACAUCAUAUAAAUUCCAGAGAAUGAACACACUAUUCAUGGAAUUAACUGGGCAAGGUUUAUGGGGAAAAGUAGCAUAUUUUAAUUCUUUUUAUUAAAGGCUUACAUAUUUUGCCCUGUUUUUACCACCAGAACAAGUAGAAUUCAGGGUCUAUUUUUCAAGUCAGACACAAAUCUUGAGGUCCUUGACCUCCAUUUAGGAAAUUAGUGUUUUUAUAACAGAGAAUAAAUUCUUUUCCUUUCUUGGUGGCACGUGAAUGUUUCUGGAGUGGGGAAGAGUGUUAUUGGACUUUAUCCUGUCUUUGUUCAGCCUGCAGCCCAUUCUUCAUGACUUUGUCAUUUGAUUAUCUUGAUCAAGCUGAUUAAGGGCUUUAUAUAUUGCCUCUUCAAUUUUCUGUCCUUGUGAAUGUUGUCAUGGAGGAAUAAAGAACAGAGAACUUCAAAGCAAUUCCCACAACUCAAAUCCAAACUCCUACCUACACCAGAGACAGAAAAAGAGUGGCAGUGAGACUGAGCAUUUCUGAAUCUUUUUAGGCUUUCUUUCAAUGCUUCUCAGAAAUGUGGAUAUUUUCAGUGGAGGAAGUGAGAUUGCUCUGGCUUUGCUUUUUCAAUAUCCACUACUUUAUGAUAAAAGAGAUUAUUAAAGAAAGCUGUGAUGUGUCAAUGCACAGCAAAAUUGCACUGAACCCAAGGAUAAAUGUGCACAAACCAUGCAUCCCCUUUUUCCAUUCUAGCAUUUAUAUAUUAUUUAUGUCUGCACUGAGAAAAUGAGAAAGAUAUUAAUAAAGUCUUUUUUAAUGUCACUUAGCAGUAUUUCAGCAUCUACUUUCCUUUCUACUUUGCUACAGGCCACUAACAGCAAGUUCUUUCUAUAUUCUCAUUCAGAAGAGAACAAUAACUAGAUGACCUUCUGAUCGUAUCAUAUUAUUAUUAUGCUGUGUUGUGAUCAAAUAUAAAGAUAAAAUAUUAAAUGUAAAGUAGCCUUGAGCUUUUCUAGGGAAACGUAGCCACAGAAGCCAUACUUAUGUGUCUAUCCUCAUAUUUUUGUCUUUUGGGCAGAGUGAGAAUCUGAGAAAGAAAAAGUGUCUCCUUUUUAAUUUAUUUCAGUACAAAAAUCACUCUCCAUUUUGUUGAAUGCUGACUAUGUAGUUUUCUAUAAGCAAAUUCUAACUAUUUUGCUUAGGAGACAAUAGUGUACCAGGCUAAAUACGAUGCUGUGCUAAAGUAUUUCCCUCUUUUUCAAGAUAGGAUUUUGAUCAGGCCACCAGGUUGUCUAAGCCUGCUAUACUACAAUGCUCAACAACGUGAAUGAUUAUAAAUUUAAGCUCUGAGCAAAGUGUGAAGUUGGAAAACAUAAAUGUUUUCCAAAUAUUACAGUUAGGAAAUGGCACCUAAGGAAUUUCUAGCCCCUUCAACAGCACCUGUUACCUCUUUUAGGACAGUGGCAGUAAUUUUACAAUGCCUUGUAGAAACAAAAUCCUACAUCAAUUAGUGGACAUAAAAGAGUUAAAGGUUCAUUACUUGUAUGUGUUCUUAUUAGAGUUAAGAAGACCUAUAUCUCUGUUUGCUUCUUCCAGACCAAAUGAAGUAGCUAGGUAACUUGAAUUUCUUAUACAGCAGAAUAAAUAAUUUAUUAUUCGAUUACUUACUAAACCAGAAAAAAAAUAUUAAAAAACCCCAACAAAACCAAACCAAACAAAAAACAAAACAAAACAAACAAACAAACAAAACCCCAAACAAAAACCCCCAAAAAACAAACAAACAAAAAAGACAAAACAAAACCAAAAAAACCCCACACCAAAAAACCCCCAAACAAACAAACAAACCCCCAGAACAAAACAAGAAACACCCCAAACCCCCUCCCCCACCCAAAAACCACCAAGAAAACAAGCACUGUUGAAGUAUUAUUCCAAACAAUUUUUCUCUGCUUGGUGAAACAAUAAAACACCUGGGGGCAUGAUCUAGACAGUUCAUUCCACUGAAACCAACUUUUUGGUUUUUACCCCAGCCUAAGUACCACACAGCUACUCACUAACUACUGCCAUUCUUCCCUGGUGGCAAGGGGAGUAGGAUUGACACUGACUAGUUUGGAUCAGCUGUGCUGGCAGUGCUCCCUUUCAGCUUUUUGUGCAGCUCCUCACUGGCAGAUCAUGAGACACUGAAAAGUCCUUGACUUAAAGGAAGCACUAUUUGGCAACACUUAGAGCAUCAGGGUGUCAUCAACAUUAUUCUCAUACUAAAUCCAAAACACAGCACUGUACCAGCAACUAAGAAGAAAAUAAACUCUAUCCCAUCUGACAAUCAGUUGUUUUAGAGUAAAAAAAAAUUAAAUAUCUGCACUUUCAAGGCCACUUCCUUAAACUGUUUAAAUUGUCACUAGUUUCAGUAUGUUUCUGGACAUGCAUUUAAAUCAGCUUUAAAGGAAAGUUUUGAAAUUCUCAGUUUAAUUUCUUACUAACCAUUGCUCAUAAUCCUUUAUGCAACACCCUGAGGUCUGUAAAGCUUUCAAUAAAUAAGUUUAGAUGUGACUGACCUAAUUACAGGGUGGAGUAUUAGCUGUCCAGAACAGAUGAGAGUGCAUGAGAAUCUGAAGUGAGCAUCUUACACUGAGAAAAACACAGCAUUGAAAGGUUCCUCAUUAAGCAACACUUUCUUCAGCUGAAGAGAGCAAGAUGAAAUCUACUAAGGCAUUUUAGCACAUAAUUAGAGUUAAAAAUUAAAUUCCCUAGAAAUACGGUUUGAUUUUAAUUUUGGUUCCUUCUGUGAAGGUCUUCCAUACAAAUGUCUGGUGAUCACACCAGUAUCUCUCAUGGAAACCUUUCAGUAGCCCUUCCACCUUGCCCUUGGCCAAUCAUUUCUCUACCAUCCUCUCUAGAUGUGUUUUUCAGCAGAACAGCUAACAGGUAAAUUUCACCAGGAACUUCUUUGUCUCUCUUAGUACUUUAUUAGGCAAAUCUCUUACAGCCCCAGUUUAUUCUAGCCUUCUAACUUUGCUGUCCUGGAAUUCAGCCAACUCCUUAAUGCAUUUCUCAACUGAUGUACUGCCCUUAGAGAGCCCCUGCAGACCUUGAAAUUUUAGAUCUGAUGCCACUGUCUAUUUUUCAGACUAAAAUACGUAGACAAUUUGGACUUGUCUUUUCAAAGAUUAGCCAUUUUAUUUUGAAUACAACAGCCAGAUACAGGAAAGUGUAUAAUAUCACAGAAAUGCUUUAAAGAGUAGGAAAAAAUGAAUUUAAGCGUAAAGAAGCCUGGAUUAAAAAAAAAAAAAAAAAGUUGAAAGUGUCAAAGAUAAUGAUAUGGUAAGUACAGAAUCCUUGGGUUUUAUUAAGUAGGACUGCAUUUAGCAGUCUAAAAGAAGCAUAUAGAAUCACAGAAUGAUUUGGUUUGGAAGGGACCUUCAAGAUCAUCUAGUUCUUACCCCAUACAGCAAUUACAUUUAUUUUGGAUAUUUCAACUAUAAAGUUUUCUGAAUAUAUCAGGAAACAUAACAGUGCAGGUCAGCUGUCUUUGUCCAGAUCUCUUUCUUUUCUCUUUCCAUUUGAAUAGUCAGAUAAUUUCUUUAAUGCUAUAUUAACUUUAUAUUUUUUUUCUUUUUAUUGAAAAUGGGAAUGAGGUGCAUUCACCACGGCUGAAAAUCUCCUCCUGGUAGGCAUGGUCACACAUGACAUAGUCCUUUAUCCUUCAUAAAGCUGACACAAAACUCCCCAGUGUCUGUUUAGAUAAUGUAAUUGAAUUAAUCACUUAUAGCAAGCUGCUCAUGAGAGGGAUAUAAAGUAACAAAUGUCAGACCUUUGCCAGAACAGAAUAAGACAUUAUUGGUAAAGAGAGUUUGCAUUAUACCCAGCAGCAAAUUUUUGAGUACUCUUCAUGUUUGUAUGAAGAUAUAUUGCGGUGGCUGAACUGAGAAAAAAAAUUAAAGUUUAAUAAUGAUAAGAUCAACUGUAAAGACAUAUGAGUGACUAGGUGAUUUCCAAAGAUUCAUAUGUGCUUCUCAUUUUCUUUAUUAUUCUUUUUUCCCCCUUGGUAGUUGUUAUCCACAGGUUGGACAGCAAUUGAAAGUUCACCAGGAUAAUUCCAUCAAAUGUCUUAAAUGACAUUGCAUAUUGUGCUGGUUUUGCAUUAGUUGACAUUUGGUAAGGAGAGAAGAGACCCACAAAAGUAAUUUUUCUAAGAAAAGCUGUGACAAAAACCAAUCAGUAAUUAGUUUUGAAUACUGACAUCUAGUUAGACCACUAGAAAGUUGAACACACCUCUGUGAACACACAUGUUAAAAAUCAAAGGGUAAUAUAUGUCGCAAUGUAAUUCGUGCUAGACAUUUAAACUGCAGCACUUUCUACCAAAGCCGGGUGAUGGGAAAAGCAAUGUGCACCAAGUGAUUCAGAUACCAGAGGCGAUGGCUGUCUUCAGAGAUGUGUAUCUCAGAGGAUUACUCGUCUAACGAAACCCCUGCGAUAUGCAUUUGAUAUCUAUCCAAGAUAAGAUAAUAUUCAUCGCCAGAAGUGUAUUCCUAGAGAUUUUUGUAUGAAUUAUUCACCCAAUUCCAGGAAAACUUUCAUCAUAUGCGGCAGAAAGAAAUAAAACUAUAUUAAUAUGCUAAAAGGGAUAAGACCAACGAAAGGAAGCAGAUAAAGCUCCUCCAGUAUCCCGCAGAGACUGGAAGAUGUAUAAGAGGUGAACCUGCAAAAGCAGCAUUGGAGAACCAUGGGGAAUUCGGUGUGAUAGAGGCCAAAUUCAGGUUCCCCCUGGUUCUGAUCACCAGGCUCUGUGCCGAUUUGCUUGUGGCUUUUUCCAAAAUUUAUACUUUGAUUACUUAAUAAAUUCCUUUAAUUAUUAAAUCGGCCGAUUCAUUUAUAACAGAAGGGAGCCCGGGAAAAGCUCUCUUUCCUUCCAGCCUGGGAAGAGGUGAUGAGGCACUGGUGGGGUUGGCUUAGCUCAGCCUGGCGGGGCUGGGCCAGGCUCUGCUGCUGCUGUGGCACUGGCUGGGCUGGGCCCAGCGGCUGCCAGGCAUGGGGAGGGCAGGAGAGAAGGAUCAGGAUCAGGCCCCAGCGGCUGUUAACUUCCUGCUGCUGAGCCGCUUUCCCCACCCAGCAAAGCGGGGCCCCAGCAGCUUCUGGGCAGAGAAUGGGGCUGGGCGCAUCCCCGUGCUGCUGCUGAGAUAGAUCCCACCCCGCAGGGCGGCCUCUGGUGAUUUCUCCACCGUAACCCACUCUGGCUGCCACUGCCAGGCGCUCUUGCCGUGGGGCUGUCCCAGCACUGCGAGACACCAUGCGGCUGAGACCAGGGGCAGCUCUGCAGCCCUGCAGUGGCCCCGCAGCUGAAACUGAAUGCAGCCGGAGCGCCCAGAUCCCUGGCACAGCCCCAGCAUGGCCUGGAUCUACCACCAACCAUCAUGACCUCCGCAGGCCCCGGGCGAGCUAUUAACCCUUUCCUUCCACAGAUGAAACCUGCAAAGCACUAAUCCUCUCUUAAGUGAUAGAAAAGGACAGAGUGAAGACAUGUAGAGAGACAAUAUGAAGGCAUCAAGGUCAUUGAAGGAGGAGUCAAGUCCUAGAUGAGAGGAGAAUUAAAAGAUCCCUAUUCUCAGGCUGAAGAUCUUUUGUAAGGCCAUUUUGAUGGACUGUAAUGUACUAGACUAUCCAUUUAAUUUAUAGAAACAGGAUGGGGGAAAUGAAGAGU